rnacentral:rRNA from 1 species
GAUGAACGCUGGCGGCGUGCCUAAUACAUGCAAGUCGAGCGAACGGACGAGAAGCUUGCUUCUCUGAUGUUAGCGGCGGACGGGUGAGUAACACGUGGAUAACCUACCUAUAAGACUGGGAUAUCUUCGGGAAACCGGAGCUAAUACCGGAUAAUAUUUUGAACCGCAUGGUUCAAAAGUGAAAGACGGUCUUGCUGUCACUUAUAGAUGGAUCCGCGCUGCAUUAGCUAGUUGGUAAGGUAACGGCUUACCAAGGCAACGAUGCAUAGCCGACCUGAGAGGGUGAUCAGCCACACUGGAACUGAGACACGGUCCAGACUCCUACGGGAGGCAGCAGUAGGGAAUCUUCCGCAAUGGGCGAAAGCCUGACGGAGCAACGCCGCGUGAGUGAUGAAGGUCUUCGGAUCGUAAAACUCUGUUAUUAGGGAAGAACAUAUGUGUAAGUAACUGUGCACAUCUUGACGGUACCUAAUCAGAAAGCCACGGCUAACUACGUG